rnacentral:rRNA from 1 species
AACGAACGCUGGCGGCAUGCCUAACACAUGCAAGUCGAACGAGACCUUCGGGUCUAUUGGCUCACUGGUGCGUAACGCGUGGGAACCUGCCCUUGUGUUCGGAAUAACUUCCCGAAGGGGGUGCUAUUCCCGGAUCGUUUCUUCGUACCAAAGAUUUAUCGCCUUUGGAUGGGCCCGCGUUUGAUUAGCUAGUUCGUAUGGUAAAAGCCUACCAAGGCGACGAUCCAUAGCUGGUCUGAGAGGAUGAUCAGCCACACUGGGACUGAGACACGGCCCAGACUCUUACGGGAGGCAGGAGAGGGGAAUAUUGGAAAAUGGGCGAAAGGCUGAUCCAGCAAUGCCGGGUGAGUGAUGAAGGCCUUAGGGUUGUAAAGCUCUUUUACCCGGGAUGAUAAUGACAGUACCGGGAGAAUAAGCUCCGGCUAACUCCGUG